UAUGCCAGGUGUUAAGGAAUACUAUUUGCAAGCAGUUAGCGAGGACCUGACGGUGCAUUAUAUUGUAUAGAAGGUUCUUUUGAUCCUGAAAAGCCAAUUGUGCAUUUAUUGUUCUGUACCUAAUUUGGCCCUCCUGAAUCUCUAUAUACUACCCCGUCCAUUCCUAAAUGUAUGUCUUUUUAGAUAUUUCAAUAUGAACUACAUACGAAUGUAUGUAGACAUAGUUUAGAGUGUAGAUUCACUUAUUUUGCUACGAAUGUAGUCUAUAUUGGAAUCUCUAAAAAAGACUUAUAUUUGGGAAUGGAGGGAGUACAUAUACAUAUGGUAGUUAUGUCAAGUACUUUUUUAGUCUCAGCUUUUUAAAAUCUUGUGACUUAUCAAUGCCAGCUUACUAGACAAUGCGAAGGAAGCCCAGAAGUGUGAUUCAGUGGAUAUAUUGUUGUUGCAUAUGCCUUGCAUGCAAAUUUAAAUAUGAGGGAUUCAAGGGCUAGGUAGCAUGCUUCUACUUGACUGAAUUUAAGUAGGAGAGAUUAUCAAUUGCGUGCCGCGUCUUGUUGUACUUUCUGGGUUGUUUGAUUUCCUUUGGUGGUUUUUCAAAAUAAUCUUGAUUUAACCAUGAUUUGCUCUGGUGGUUUUUUGAAAUAGUCUUCGUUUCGCAAAGACAUCAUGGUGAUCGCGCCUGGAAUACUCAAUGUCUUCGCUUGUGGUUUGUGUUCUUCAGGUCUUCACUUGCCAUGAUAUAUCUCUGAUUUCUUCUUCUCUGUUCUAAUUAGAGUCUGUUCUGUUUGCACCAAUUCGAGAUAAUGGUCGUGGAAUGCAGCAGCCAAGACAACAAGAUCUAGCUCGACUUAGGACUGAUGACAAAUAAAAUUUGAUUCAGAUGGUUCCUUGCAUCUUCCUCUCAUAAUUAAACCUAAUAAUACAAUUUUUUGUGCUCUUGCUUCUGCAGAUUCUAAAGAAUUGAUUUGUUGUUCGGGCAUUUCGUGCAUUUGGAGUUCACAGAUAAUACCGACAAUUUCUCAAACGAGUCAGCAUUAUCAUUCAGUCAGUAGGUUACUAAAUAAAGCCGGAGUUCGCAUGGAGCACCAACGAUAACCUCAAGCAGAUGCAUCGAGACAGGCAAAUCAGAGUUUAUGGCACCCGAACUCUUCACUGGCAAUUUUAACGAGUUGGUGGACAUAUAUUCGUUUUGGAUGUGCAUGCCUGAAAUGAAAAGAAAAUGAUGGAAAAGUCUUGGACCUUGCUUAAUGCUUGGAACUACACCUUUCCAAACAUCCUUGUUGCUUGAUGCCAAGAGGAUUUCUCCAAGAGAUUGGAACUAUGUUCCUCUGCAGUUCUCCAUUCAGACAUUUCUAUGGUUAGAGCUUUCUUCUGACAAAAUUGUGCUGGUGUCUGGUUGUAAAACGUAUUUCCUAUUACAGCUGAGAAAGAGAGUAAGUAAAAAGGGUAAGCCAAGGGCUAGCCUAAAAUUCCAAAAGGACUAUUUCCUGAGGUAUUUGUCGCCGGCCAACCUGUCAUCAACCCAGGGUUGGUCGCUUGAACGACAUUCACUUCGAGGGAGUUUUGAUUAAAAGUUUGUGACUUGUCAUGCAUGGAACAUGCAUCUUUUGUUAACAUUUUCAUUGCAUUAUAUAUUAUAUAAAAGUGACAAAGUAGUGUUCUGGUCAUUGCUUUAGUAAAACAAAUAUACGUAGUAUAUGGUUAUGAAGUUGAAUGAAUGCUCAAUGGUCGGUUCAAGACUUCAAGAAAUUCAUAAUUUGUUCUGUGUGUUUUGAUUAAAAUGUGACCUAGCUCAGUUGCCAGACUGUGGAUAGAGGGAUGCAUGGCCACCACUUUGCCGGAAUACCAACAGUUAGCCAUUUUUUGGGUAUAGCUAUCAACUAGAAUCCAUUUUUUGGGUAUAGCUAUCAACUAGAAUCCACAGCUUCACAUUUCUCUUUGUUCAAAUGUUCUCUAAAUACAUGUAACUUAUAUGGCACAAUUUCGAUGCCACUUGUAAGUUGUAACUUCACAUGAUUUGGUGAUUUGUCAAAGAACGGCGGUGUCGGAGAAGACGAGGGGGAGGGGGCACUGAGCCAACAAAGGAGGCGGCUAUGGUAGGGCGAGCCGAUGAGGUGUAACACGUUAGCACUACUACGGGAGGGGA